GACGUAGGGCGCGAGCGUUGUCCGGAUUUAUUGGGCGUAAAGAGCUCGUAGGCGGCUUGUCGCGUCGUCCGUGAAAACCUGCGGCUCAACUGCAGGCUGGCGGUCGAUACGGGCAAGCUAGAGUUCGGUAGGGGAGACUGGAGUUCCUGGUGUAGCGGUGAAAUGCGCAGAUGUCAGGAGGAACACCGGUGGCGAAGGCGGGUCUCUGGGCCGAUACUGACGCUGAGGAGCGAAAGCCGUGGGGGAGCGAACAGG
rnacentral:rRNA from 1 species